CUACGGGAGGCAGCAGUGGGGAAUAUUGGGCAAUGGGCGCAAGCCUGACCCAGCAACGCCGCGUGAAGGAAGAAGGCUUUCGGGUUGUAAACUUCUUUUAUUAGGGACGAUAAUGACGGUACCUAUUGAAUAAGCUCCGGCUAACUACGUGCCAGCAGCCGC
rnacentral:rRNA from 1 species